ensembl:lncRNA
AUUCUCCACUUCAGCUUAUUGUUAAUUAUAAUUAAUAUAGUACAAUUUGUUUAACAUCUCUAUUCUGUGCUAACAGAUGGAUAGGAUUUGGGUCUGCAACUGGCACAAUAGUGUUAGUUUGUGUUAGUUGCUCAGUUGUAUCCAACCCUUUGAGACCCCAUAGACUGCAGCCCAACAGGCUUCUCUGUCCAUGGGAUUCUCCACGCAAGAAUACUGGAGUGACUUGCCAUGGCCUUCCCCAGGGAAUCUUCCUGAACCAGAACUGUAUUGAAGAGAGAUGUUAUUUAUUAGAGAGCCCCUGAGAAGCUUAACUAAUACCUUAAGAGGAGGCAAAAGACCUUCUGAUUUGUUUAAGGAUUCAAUUCCCCUUGCCAAAUCUACUCAAAUCUGAUGGGCAGUAUUUAGA